rnacentral:rRNA from 1 species
CCUACGUGCGGCAGCAGUGGGGAAUAUUGCACAAUGGGGGAAACCCUGAUGCAGCGACGCCGCGUGAGUGAAGAAGUAUUUCGGUAUGUAAAGCUCUAUCAGCAGGGAAGAAGAAAGACGGUACCUGACUAAGAAGCCCCGGCUAACUACGUGCCAGCAGCCGCGGUAAUACGUAGGGGGCAAGCGUUAUCCGGAUUUACUGGGUGUAAAGGGAGCGUAGACGGCUGUGCAAGUCUGAAGUGAAAGCCCAGGGCUCAACCCUGGGACUGCUUUGGAAACUGUACGGCUGGAGUGCAGGAGAGGUAAGUGGAAUUCCUAGUGUAGCGGUGAAAUGCGUAGAUAUUAGGAGGAACACCAGUGGCGAAGGCGGCUUACUGGACUGUAACUGACGUUGAGGCUCGAAAGCGUGGGGAGCAAACAGGAUUAGAUACCCCUGUAGUC